CUUAUUCUUUUGCAGCCAAGACCAUCCACCUUUACUCUUCCCCUGCUGGGGCGGGAUUCUUCUUCAUGGGUAAGAAGGAUGGUUCUCUGCAGCCUUGCAUUGUCUAUCAAUGGUUGAACAACAUCACGGCACAGAAUACUUAUCCUUUGCCGUUGAUGUCUUUGGCUUUCAAGCAGCUGUGGGGGGCUUCCUUUUUUACAAAGUUGGAUCUUCGCAACGCUUAUCAUUUGGUCCGCAUCAGGGAGGGAGAUGAGCAGAAGACUGCUUUUAAUAACCCCAGGGGGCAUUUUGAAUAUGUGGUUAUGCCGUUUGGGCUGUCUAAUGCCCCCGUCAUCUUCCAGGCACUCAUCAAUGAUGUGCUGAGAGACAUGGUCGAUCAGUUCAUAUAUGUUUACUUGGAUGACAUAUUGUUUUUUUUUUUUCUUCAUCUCUCCAGGAACAUAUUCAGCACAUCAGGUGAGUGCUUCAGAGGCUGUUUGAGAAUGAUCUUUUUGUCAAGGUGGAGAAAUGCAUUUUUCGUCCGCAGUCGGUUCCAUUUUUGGGGUUUAUUUUUUCGUCCGAGGAGUUGCACAUGGAUCCCGAUAAGGUUCAGGCUGUGGUUGAUUGGAAAACCCCAGAUUCCCGCAAGGCCCUGCAGAGGUUUCUGGGCUUUGCCAAUUUUUUACAGAGGUUUCAUUUGUAAUUACAUCCAACUGAACACCCCUCUGACUGCCCUGACCUCCACCAAGGUGACGUUCGGGUGGUCUGUUGCAGUGGAUGCUGCAUUUUCCAACCUGAAAAGCCACUUUAUUUCGGCUCCUAUUCUUGUGACACCGGAUCCUUCACGUCAGUUUGUGGUGGAGGUUGACGCGUCUGAGGUGGGGGCUGGAGUGGUACUUUUCCAGCGUUCCCUUGCAGAUGGCAAGAUGCACUCUUACAUGUGUGUUUUACUCCCGCAGAACACAACUACGAUAUUGGUAACAGAGAACUGUUGGCGGUUAAGCUGGAUUUGGAGGAGUGGCAUCAUUGAUUGGAGGGCUUUGGGGUACCUUUUUAUUGUCUGGACCGAUCACAAGAAUUUAGAGUACAUUAGAUUCGCCAAACGACUGAACAAGGCAGGCUGGGUGGGCACUUUUUUUUUGGUCAGUUUGCUUUUUCUAUUACGUACCUUCCGGGCUCCAAGAACAUCAAGCCCAAUGCUUUAUCUCACAUUUUUGAUCAUUCCAAAUGUCCAUCCUCUCCCAGUUCCAUCAUGCCAGUGAGACUGGUCAUUUCUGUGGUUACUUGGGAGAUCGAAUCGAAGGUUCAAAAUGCCUUACAAUGGGUAACCCCUCCGUUCGGUUGCCUACCAAGUUGUUUAUUUAUACCAGAGAAGUUGCAGUCCAACGUUAUCUGCUGGGGUCACUCUUCUAAAAUCGCUUGUCAUCCAGGAGUGAAUCGUACUAUUUUUCUGGUUAAACAAUGAUUCUGGUGGCAGUCUUUGGCUCGUGAUGUCCAUAGUUUUGUUUUGGCCUGUUCUGUUUGCGCUGUUGGUAAGACUUCCAAUCAGCCCCCGGUGGGUUUCCUUCAGCCGCUGUCUGUCCUUUCGAGAACCUAGUCAAAUAUUGCACUAGAUUUUGUUGCAGCUCUCCCACCCUCCAAGGGCAACAUGGUGGUUCUUACUGUGGUGGACCGGUUCUCGAAGGCGGCCCAUUUUAUUCCCU
ensembl:lncRNA